rnacentral:rRNA from 1 species
AUUGAACGCUGGCGGCAUGCCUCACACAUGCAAGUCGAACGGCAGCACGGGAGCAAUCCUGGUGGCGAGUGGCGAACGGGUGAGUAAAGUAUCGGAACGUGCCCAGUCGUGGGGGAUAACGUAGCGAAAGUUACGCUAAUACCGCAUACGAUCUAUGGAUGAAAGCGGGGGAUCGCAAGACCUCGCGCGAUUGGAGCGGCCGAUAUCAGAUUAGGUAGUUGGUGGGGUAAAGGCCCACCAAGCCGACGAUCUGUAGCUGGUCUGAGAGGACGACCAGCCACACUGGGACUGAGACACGGCCCAGACUCCUCCGGGAGGCAGCAGUGGGGAAUUUUGGACAAUGGGCGAAAGCCUGAUCCAGCCAUGCCGCGUGCAGGAUGAAGGCCUUCGGGUUGUAAGCUGCUUCUGUCCGGAACGAAAAGGACUGCCCUAAUACGGUGGUCCCAUGACGGUACCGUAAGAAUAAGCACCGGCUAACUACGUGCCAGCCGCCGCCGUAA